AUUUUGCAUCGAUCCUCGCCAAAAUGAUAGUGCAAUGUGGAUUUUUGUUUUGUGUAAAUCUAUCCAUCAUUACUUAAAUUUGGUGCUAAUUCCAUGUACCAACUUAGAAGUAGGAUCUGUUAUAGAAAAAGAGAGUACCAAGUAAAAGAAUUUGAAAUGUUAACCCUAGCUGAUUGUCUGCACACCUUUUCACAGAGGAAACAUGCUUUAUUCCCUUUCUAAGUUUCAGCAAAUAUUAAGCAAUUGAAAUGUUAAAUUUAGCCGAUUGUCUGCAUACAUUUUUCAAAGAGGAACCUAGCUCUAUUCCAUAAGUUUCAUUUAUGUUACAUUAUAUUCCUAAUGCAAAAGUUUUGAUACUUAUAGUGGAUAUACUUACAAGCAAAAAUCUCAAAACUGCCGCAACAGGGUUUUCAGAAGGUUUGACUGGAACUGCUUGUAUAUGCUGACCAACAGCUUAAAGUUUAGUUUCCCCAUAUGAAUAAAGCUAAAGCAGUAGGGUCCUUUUGAUGUUUCCAUCCAAAAUUUCCUAUGUUAAUUUAAGCCUGACCCUGGAGACUCAUAAUUCAUGAGUGUUUUGAAGUUGAUACCAAUCUGUGAUAUUUGGAACCAUACAAGCUUUCAGGUGAUCACCUUAGUUAUUUCUACAGUAUUUAUCUUAAUUAAUAUUCAUGAAAUAUUUGAGGUUAUUGCCGACUUGCCAAUAAGCUGUUAGUAAUAUUUCCAUUGUUACCUUGCUGGUCUUGUUCUUAUUCAUUGUACAAUGGAUUGGUUCUCUUGUUUAUAAAUUCUUCUAAUAGCUCCAAAGUAGAUAUUAUCAGGUUACACCAGCUGGUUAUACCCUUACCUUUUUAAUUUAGAUUCCUCUCUUAUGUUUUUAAUCUUGUGGUGCAAGCCCUGAUGGGAAGAUUCCUAUGCUAUAGUUGCAACUAUAUUUCUUCUUCUAAUCAUCAACAAUCAGUAAAGUUUUGGUAUUUAUAUUUGGCACUUAAACGUGGGUGUCUUUACAUGUAUUUAAACGUGGGUGCAAGUAGGUUUUAUUUGCAUUAUUUGUUUCAGUUAGGUAGGGAUGGAAAGGUCUUUUAUUACAUGUUAUGGUCGAUCCUUAAAUUUUCAGAAUUUUGAAUGGAAAGCACACAAAGGGUUGACAUAACAAAACUUCGGUAAAUCAGGGUUGAGAAAGUGAAUUGUAUUUCUUGGUAGUUUAGGGGCUAUACAGACACACUUGAACACUUCUUUAAUCACUAGAAUUUGUUCGAAAAGAAUUAGUUGAUUCUGUUUGAUUCUUUUGACAUGUUUACUCGAUUCUUUUGACAUGUUUACUUGAGACCAUCUCGGUAACUGUAUAUGAAGUUCCUUUUGCCUUGUUUUAUUUGGAUGCAUCAUUUUAUCUGAUGAACUUAGGGCACCAGCUGAAGAAGAGGCGACAAUUGAUUCGGCCAAUUUGGUGGCAGUGGGGGAUUUGUGUAUGAACUAUUAUACGGGCGUCCCCAUCUAAGAGAUUUAAAGAGAGUACACCGACAGCAGUAAGGCGCAGCAUGGGCAAAGCUGGUUGUCGUCAAUGUGCUACAUGGCAUGGGCAAAGCUGGUUGUCGCCAAAUUUUGCUUUAACAGUAACUUGUUAUAGCUGAAAUUCUUGUGCUACAUGGCAUAGAUUGAAGCAACAAGCAGGAUUUGAUGUUCGCAUUUCAAGAAUGUUUAGCUGGAGGCUUUUCACUCCUCUUUUUCUUAGCUUUCUAACAUUUGGAAUUCAACUAAAUUUUUUAUUGCAUUGAUUUCUGUUAGACAUAAAAACUUGUUUUGUUACAUUUUAUCAUUGCUAUAAAUCAUGAUUGUAUCAUCUUAUAAUUUUUUUACAAUCAUUUUUACUGUUUUGUUAUAGACUUCUCUAUUGUAAUUUAGUAAUAUGACUUUUAUUUUUUUUACGGAUAUUAUAGAUUGUUGGUUUUACAAUUAAUAUCAAAUGGAAAAGCUCUAUUGUAA